rnacentral:rRNA from 1 species
AUUGUCGAGACCCUGCCCAGCAGAAGGACCGGCGAAC